rnacentral:rRNA from 1 species
AUACGUAGGGAGCGAGCGUUGUCCGGAAUUACUGGGUGUAAAGGGUGCGUAGGCGGGACUGCAAGUCAGAUGUGAAAUGCCGGGGCUCAACCCCGGAGCUGCAUUUGAAACUGUGGUUCUUGAGUGAGGUAGAGGUGAGCGGAAUUCCUAGUGUAGCGGUGAAAUGCGUAGAUAUUAGGAGGAACAUCGGUGGCGAAGGCGGCUUACUGGGCCUUUACUGACGCUGAGGCACGAAAGCGUGGGGAGCAAACAGGAUUAGAUACCCUGGUAGUCCACGCUGUAAACGAUGAUGACUAGGUGUGGGGGGACUGAACCCUUCCGUGCCGCAGUUAACACAAUAAGUCAUCCACCUGGGGAGUACGGCCGCAAGGUUGAAACUCAAAUGAAUUGACGGGG